rnacentral:snRNA from 1 species
GCACCGCACGUCGCGUGGUGUC